UACGGGGGGGGCAAACGUUGUUCGGAAUUACUGGGCGUAAAGGGCUCGUAGGCGGCCAACUAAGUCAGACGUGAAAUCCCUCGGCUUAACCGGGGAACUGCAUCUGAUACUGGAUGGCUUGAGUUUGGGAGAGGGAUGCGGAAUUCCAGGUGUAGCGGUGAAAUGCGUAGAUAUCUGGAGGAACACCGGUGGCGAAGGCGGCAUCCUGGACCAACACUGACACUGAUGAGCGAAAGCCAGGGGAGCAAACGGG
rnacentral:rRNA from 1 species